GUUCCUUGCCUGUGUGGCUACCAGUGCUCACACCAGGGCUGGCCAUGCCCCCUCUGCAGAGUUUCAGCUCUGAUCCUGGACCAAAGCAAGUGCCACUCCUGGCUUGGAGGGUUUCACAGCCCUGAGAUUUCGCUGCUUAUGACUUGAAGCAACCAGCAUCACCUCAGGCUAUAGGGAGAAAAAUUUCAUUGAACCACAUUGCCUCUCUGCUAGACAAACUGCAGAAAGAUAACUCGCUCCCAGAAUGUCAGAGUUUUCUGGCCACCUUCCAAACAAUCGCUGCAUUUCAUGCUUGAAUGCCUAUCAGUGAAUUUCCAGUACAAAAUGUGAACAGAGACAACUAGAAAUCAACGUCUGGUGUUUCCUUUGCACCUCCCUGGAAGGGAGGGCUGUUGGCAUCAUAUAUUCAAUCCCUCAGCACCAGCAGGCACAGGUCAGUGACAAGACAGGUGAAAGAACAAGACCUGAGAUCAGUAGAUGCCCGGUACAGCCACUGAAGCUGCCUGCUUCCAGGAGCUGAGGCUGCUGCUCUUAGGGAAACAAAACUCCUGCCUGGUAGUAAACAUCUUCAGUUACCACACAGAAAAAUACAAAAAGCCAAACAACAAUCACCUAGCCAAGUGUUUAGGGUGGAAAAAAAUCAAAAGUCAAGAUGAGAUGCACAUGGCAUGUCUCCUGCCUGGAAUUCCUGGGAAUGUUUGUUGGUGGCAUGCCUGGUCAUGUAGUGCUGGUUGGACACAGGGCCAGGACUGUGCUGUUCACCCAGCAGCCUGAUCCCAUCCUUCCUUUGGCUGAAGGAGAUGCAGGUGAAGCCUGGGUGGGACAACUGAGAGGUCACUUAUGCCCACAGGUCACUUCCCCAGCAAGGUGUACCUUGUUCCAGGUGUGUUAGAGCCCUCCCCAGUGGCGUGGGACCUCAAGGGGGUUGAGAAAGCCCUUGGAGCAAAUAAGGUGAAUGGCACCAAGCUUUCUGGGGAAAUCCAUUUUGGUGAAUGUUGCCCACCCGUAAUUCAGAGCUACUCUUUGCAGCAAGGCAGUGCAGGCAGGCAGAGCAGUGCUCAUGUCAGGAUGGUUCAGGUCCCUGUGCUACAGCUGAAGCCUGUAACAUGGAGAAAGAGAGCCUCAGCUGCAGGGCUGAGCAGGCAGGGGCAGAUCCUGCCACAGUUUCGACUCACAACUACACAGACUCCGUACUUAUCAAGUUGCAGAACUUCAGCUUUUUGCAUUUCAGCUUUGCAAAUUUUAGUCAGUGGUUUUGCCACUUUUCAUCUAUUAAACUUCUUGGGUUUAUCCAUGCUCCAUCCAAAGUUCCACCCAUUAAACUCUAAUGUUUCUGCCUUUCCUCACUUGUAAGUGGAGGAGGUCACCUUCAGAGAGGCUGGUUCAGAGAACAGUGGUAGUAGCCAUGGAGUGUCCUAUCCAGUGAAGUCUCAAAUGAAAGAUAGGAUGGCUCUGAAAAGCAUGAUAAGGUAUUUGAAAAUUAAGAUAAUACCAGUGCAGGUCCAUACCUGCUGCUAGUGUGAGAUUCAGAAGUGCUGCCACUGAACAGCAUUUCCAUGGCAGGAACCUGCAGCAGCUGCCAUGGAUGCAGAUCCAUCCUUCAGCUGAUCCUACAGCACGGGUUCUGGACUCCUCCAGUUCUUGGACUCUUUCACCUCUGCAUCACCAGGAUUUCUUCAGCAUGGUCAUUAACAGCUCACACAUACCUGCCACACCUUCCAGCACACGCCUCUGCAUUCCUCACCCUGCUCCAAGACAUGCUUUGUUCAUGGACUCAGCUCUUGGAGCUCCCACUCACCGUGUGAUUCACAUGGGAUCAGGUUAUAUGACAUGCUGGCAAGUUGUGGUCAUGAUGGGUUCAGCCCUAGCCCUGUCCUUGAGAGAGCAGAUCCUGUCACCUAACCAGUACUUUUGGGAGGUAUUUUACAAUUUGUAUAAAGAAAAAAUGUACUGGAAAUACCUUAUCUGUAGUGACAAUCUCUGGACCUCAGUACACAUAGAAAUCCAGCAAUAUCCCUUGUUAGACAUAGCAUAAAUAUAUAUAACCUGUGACCAGAGUUCACAAGCUUUCUUCCAGGCUGUGCUCAGCUUAUAAAGCUUCUCCUGCCAUUUAUCACAUUUGCCAAGUCUCCAGUCCCUGAGUGCUGCCAGUAUUUACAGCUCUCAGAGCUGUUGGGACAGACAGCUCUGUGUGCAGGGAUGCAGUGCCUGGGAGCUCUGAUGGAACAAGCUGAGGGCCUCAGCUGACCCUGGAGGGUGCCUGGACUCUGCAGCUGGCACAGGCCAGAUGGAAAAUUAUCCCAUCUCCCCCUUUCUCAUUGUUGUUCUUACAUGGCACAGCAAAUCAAAGCCUCAGACCAGCACAACUCCUAUUGUUGCUUGUGCUGCAGUCUAGGGAAAAAAAAAAAAGGAACCCCAGCUCCUCAUUUCCACACUAGUGGGAACCAGUAGUAGUUGGCAGACCAGUGGUUGGUUUCUAGACUUGGCCAAGGGAAAGAUCUGAGUCCUUGCUUAAUAUUAAAAAACUCGGCUUAGGCUGAUUUCAUUUUCCAUUUUUUUAUUCUACUCUCAAAUUUUAUGUCUUUAUUUUCAGUUUAAUCCUUUAUUUUUAAGGUUUACAUAGCAUCAUCUGCUUCUCAAAUAGCUCUGUCCUUUAGCUAGACUUACGAGCUGCACUUUAAAAGUGGACAUUCUGUGACCAUCACAAAAAUCCCUCCUGGUAUUUUUGCUAGCAUCAGUCCCCAGAACAUGGGCCUUAAUGAAGGGAACAUAUUCCUUACUGAUGUGCCAGACAAAAGUUCAUGGCUUUGUCUUGCUGAAAAUGAAGUCUUGAUUAUUCAUGCAGUUCCCAAUUAGUCAUUCCACACCCUUGAAUUAUUUCUGACAGAUGUGAAAUGCCUUCUGCUGAAUUCCAGCUCCAAGGAACCUUCUGCAUGACUGGUUUAUCAGUGAAUGUGAGCAGACUCAUGAUUUACAGUGCUUCAUCAUCAUGGCAUGUGUAACACUGAACACGAUGGCUAGGGAAACCAGACCCACCUAUUUUUGGUCAUGGGUUCAGAUCCUCCAAAAUCUGCCAGCAGCUGCACAAGAGGUGCUCACACAGGGCCAGUGUGUGCACAGGGAAACCCAGUGAGGAUCUCACUGAAUGGAUCAUCUGAAUGUAUCAUCUGAGGGCAUAUGAAUUCACUCUCAGGGGUGAUAUGGAGACAAGUGCUAACCUGAAGGGCCAUUUCUGUCACUUUUCACUUUCUUGCUUUCUCUUUGCUGCCAGGAGUGCUUUUCCCACUGGCUACGUACUCAGCUGAGGUGCAAGUCACGUGUGGUUCCUGUCCCACCAGAGCUGCCCAGCAGAGAGGGAAUGUCCAGCUGGUGCCCUUAGCCCACUGCUGGAAGUGCUCUCUGCUGUGUUUCCCUGCGAGGGUGUUAGUGCACAUCUCUCUGUGCAUCGUCAGAGGCACACAGGAACUCAUCCACAGCCUGCAGAACACAGGUGAAGCUGUUUCCCAAAGGUCUACAGCUUCUCUUAAAAUCAGGAGUCCCUAGGCUGGCCAGAGUACAUUUAUUUUCUCCUACGAAGAAAAGGUCUUUCAGGGAACCUUCUCUGAACAAGAACCUCCUCCAAAGCAGGAGGGCAGCUGCAGAGAGGGGGUACAGACAGCUCAGAGCUGCUGCUCUCAGCUGCACCCACUGUGCACCAUGGACAGGAGCACAGCUCACCUGUUGCCUCUGGGACAGGGCUCAGUCUGGUCAGGCAGAAUCACUGCCCUGCAUGUGCCAGGCGUGUAUCUCACAGGAAACAGCGAGGUUCCUCACCAAAGGGAGCUCUGAGCUACCCUCGGAAAGCCCCAGCAGCCUCCCUGUUAGCACACCUGCAGGGAGAGGGCUGACUUGCUCUCACUGCUGCAUUUCAGCAGCAUUCCUGAGCAGGUGGCCAGGCCUGGCUCCAUGUGAGGUUAAAGACAUUACCUCUACAAUGGCAGAUUUUAGGCUGGGAUUUCACAUUUUUCUCCUGCAGAAGUCUCUGUCACUGCAAAGCAAAAUAAUAGCACCCAAAGCCAUGUUAAGUCAUUGUAGUGAUUCCAAAAUCCAUGAUUCCUCUGGCUAAUUAAAAAAGCUCCAAGCUUGCUCCAGGUCUUACAACUGUGAAUUUUGUAUUUGCAGUGGUGAAACUCCCCUCUUCUUUUUAUCCACCGAUGGUCAUGAUGAUAUGUUUUUGUUCAAUAAUUAAUCAUUUUGGUGUCAUGUUUGACUUGGUUUGGGGAUUUAAAUUGCAUGCCUUACUGAAGGGAAUCUGUAAUUGAGAUACAAGUCUGAGCACCUGUGAAAGACUUCAAGUUUUGUGCACAUAAGUAUAGAGUUUUAAAGUAUAAAUGUCUGAGUAUAAAUUUUUAAAUGUUUUACUACUCUAAAGGCAUCUACACAGGAUGUCAGUGGAAAUUGAUCUGUCAUCACUCUGUCUUGUGAGCAGACCCACUGGAUUCUGACAGCUGAACAGAAGCCAUUAAUUAAAACUGACAGGUUUGUCAGACCCUUGACAUGCUCCCUAGAUAAUUCAAUCUUAUGCAUUUCAAGCAUUUGCAGCAGGAACAAGACUAAAUCUUUCAAUUUCCCUGCUCCUUUCUAUGCCUCUCUUUCUAAGAAAGAGGAUUUAUUCCUGCAGAAAUAACCCUUUGCAUUCUGAAGUGGGGGUGUCGGUGUAACUUGGUUCUGCACUGAGAAGUGCCAGGGUUUGUGAUGACUCCUCAGAGGGAAGCUGUGCAAAGGUUCUGGCAGUGACUCCCCAACCUCAGGAAGGUUACAGGGCAUAAUGCCACAAGUUUUGCAGAAAUAAAGAGCUUUUUCAUACUGUUCUAAGAAGGUUCUUUGCUAGAACAAGCAAACAAGAAUUGGACCUGACUUCAGGUCCCCCUGCUCCCACAGCUGUCCUCACUGGAGUUGGUAACUGCUCCUGGGGAGAUAAGGCUCUCAGCCAGUCAUCCCUAAAGGAGAAGUGUUAGUUUACAUGUAACUAUGACCUAAUUUAAAAUUUUUGCUAUAUAUACAAAUUUACUCUUUAUAGCACAUCCAUGGACCUUUUGGAAUGCAUAUGAUGGAGAACCAGUGGUCAACCCUUAGACUCAUGUUUAGAAAACACCACCUUUGUUUGUUUUACAUGUUUAUAAUUGUCUCUGGCUAUAUUAUUGUUUGUGAAUUUCCACAGUAGCUUUCAAAGUAAUGUUGAUUUGUCUGGAUAGUAACAUUGCUAAAAAGCACUUAAAAUGUCAAAUACAA